CCUGUUUCCGUGCUGUAAUUGUUAUAUGGUUAUAUGGUUAUAUGGUUAUAUGCUGAGUUAAUUCUGCUGCCACCAUCAUCCAUUGCAACAAGUGAUGGCUCCCACUGAUUGUCGCCGGAAGCUUGCGUCCUUUUAAGGUCGUACGAUGACAGCGAUGUCAACAUUUGAAA